rnacentral:lncRNA from 1 species
AUGUAAUUUUGAUAUGUGUGCAUCACUAAUUAUGGAAAGAAGUUAUUCUGAAAGUACCUGCAUUAUGCUAUGUUUCAAUCUAGCCAUACAUAAUCGUUCUAUGUUCAGGUGUAUUGGUAAAGUGAUAAGUGUGUACCCAUACAUAACUAUUCCGUGUUAGGGUGUUUGGGAAAACAGUAUGAUCGGCGUGUCCUAACCGUUCU